UACGAAGGGUGCAAACGUUGCUCGGAAUUAUUGGGCGUAAAGCGCACGUAGGCGGUUCGUUAAGUCGGAUGUGAAAGCCCUCGGCUCAACUGAGGAAGUGCACCCGAAACUGGCGAGCUUGAGUACGAAAGAGGAUCGCGGAAUUCCCGGUGUAGAGGUGAAAUUCGUAGAUAUCGGGAGGAACACCGGUGGCGAAGGCGGCGAUCUGGGUCGAUACUGACGCUGAGGUGCGAAAGCGUGGGGAGCAAACAGG
rnacentral:rRNA from 1 species